rnacentral:misc_RNA from 1 species
GGAAGGAUCAUUAACACUUCUUUAAAAAAAACCAACCUCCUUUUUUUUCUCGGAAAGAAAGGAGGUGAAACUUUGUGUUCAGGGAAAUUCCACUUUUCUUGAACACGAGGGACACCCUAAAGUGUGAACAUGUUGAAGUAUUUAACCACAAAAAAAAAAGAAAGUUCUUUCUUUUCUUUUUUUGGUUAAACUAUUUUUAAACACCUUUCUAAAAUAAAUGUUAAACAAACAAAUAAUGACUAAUGAAAAAAGUAAGUUCAAAGAAAGAAGAAAAAAAAAAAAAUACAAUAAAGCCUUAAAAAAAGCUUUGUUUGUAUCUCCUUUUUCUUUUCUUUUCUUUAAACUGAAAAAACCAAUAAGAUAACCUUAAAAGACAACUUUUAACAACGGAUAUCUUGGUUCUCGCAACGAUGACGAGCGCAGCGAAAUGCGAUACGUAAUGUGAAUUGCAGGAUUCAGUGAAUCAUCGAACUCUUGAACGCAUAUUGCGCUGGCAAUUCUUUUGUCAGCACGCCUGUUUGAGUAUCGGUUUUCAUUAUCAACUUUUCCCUUUUUUUCUUCGGGAGAAAAGACAAAAAAAAAGUUGGACUAUGGAUGUUUGAACGGCGGAAACACACUUGUGUGUUUUUUGUUUUCAAUCGUCUUAAAAUGAAAGGUGGUAUUUUUCUUUCUCUGUAAAGAGAGAGAGCACGAAACCUCUUUUUAUAUGAUGGUCAUUAGGGCGUUUCUCGCUUUUCUUUUUUUAAGAAAAACGAAAACAAACACUACCAUUGUAUUUUGUGUUUUGUGGUUAAAAAAAUAUGAAUACCCUGAAUAAAAAUCUUGAGAUGGUAAACAUUUCAAAUUACAAAAAAAAACCUAAUCUCGAUCUCAAAUCAGGCGAGACAACCCGCUGAAUUUAAGCAUAUCAAUAAGCGGAGGAAAAGAAACUAACUAGGAUUCCCUCAGUAACGGCGAGUGAAGCGGGAAGAGCUCAAAUUGAAAAUCUUCAGGGAUUCAGUUCCUUGACGAAUUGUAGUUUUGUGACUGGCAUUUACGCGGUAGGCGACGCGGACGUAAGUCUCCUGGAAUGGAGCGCCCUGGAGGGUGAGAGCCCCGUGUCUGUCCGUGCAACGUUCGCCUGCCAACACGUACUGCUAGUUCGCCGAGUCGAGUUGUUUGAGAGUACAGCUCAAAAUGGGUGGUAAAUUUCAUCUAAAGCUAAAUAAUGGCGAGAGACCGAUAGCGAACAAGUACCGUGAGGGAAAGAUGAAAAGAACUUUGAAAAGAGAGUUAAAAGUACUUGAAAUUGUUAAAAGGGAAGCGAUUGGAACCAGUCGAUGCGCGCCGUUCAAUCAGUCGCGAGCUCGCGUGCGGGCGGUGGUCAGCGAGGGAUCCAUGGCGGUCUCCGUUUUUGGCUGUCGUCUUGCGCUGCGUGGGCGAGCGGUGCACUUGGGCGGUGUCUUAAGCGAGUCAGCGUGAGUCUGCGCGUUUUUUUGCGGUAGAAGAGCGGCGGGAAGGUAGCGUGCCGGCUGGCUCAUGCCAGCUUUGGUGCGUGUUAUAGCCCGCUGUGGAUGCCGUCGCGUGGACUGAGGCGCCCUAUGGGCGUGGACGAGCGUUUCUUUCAUUAGGGACUGGAGACGUGCCGGUGGGAGGUCGGCGGUCAUGGGUACAGCCUAGCUCGUGCCUGUGGCUCUGUUCGGCUUCCGGUGUCGGUGCUAUUCACAGCUCUCGUCAAGGACGCUGACGAAAUGGUUUCAAUCGGCCCGUCUUGAAACACGGACCAAGGAGUCUAACAUGUGUGCGAGUACUUGGGUGACAGAAACCCGGGAUGCGUAAUGAAAGUAAACCCUCAUGAUGGGAAGUGGGUGCCCUCGCGGCUGGCCCACGGCACCAUCGACCGACCUUGAUAUCUUUGGAUAGGUUUGAGUGAGAGCAUACCUGUUGGGACCCGAAAGAUAGCGAACUAUGCCUGCAUAGGGUGAAGCCAGACGAAAGUCUGGUGGAGGCUCGUAGCGAUACUGACGUGCAAAUCGUUCGUCAAAUGUGGGUAUAGCGGCGAAAGACUAAUCGAGCUGUCUAGUAGCUGGUUUCCUC